rnacentral:tRNA from 1 species
GCCUUCAUGGCGAAAUGGUCAGCACACUCGACUCGUAUUCGAGAGGUCCAGGCUCGAGUCCCGGUGAGGUA